rnacentral:rRNA from 1 species
GUGGCGAACGGGUGAGUAACACGUGAGCAACCUGCCCCGGACUCUGGGAUAAGCGCUGGAAACGGCGUCUAAUACUGGAUACGAGCUGCAACCGCAUGGUUAGCAGUUGGAAAGAUUUUUUGGUCUGGGAUGGGCUCGCGGCCUAUCAGCUUGUUGGUGAGGUAAUGGCUCACCAAGGCGUCGACGGGUAGCCGGCCUGAGAGGGUGACCGGCCACACUGGGACUGAGACACGGCCCAGACUCCUACGGGAGGCAGCAGUGGGGAAUAUUGCACAAUGGGCGAAAGCCUGAUGCAGCAACGCCGCGUGAGGGACGACGGCCUUCGGGUUGUAAACCUCUUUUAGCAAGGAAGAAGCGAAAGUGACGGUACUUGCAGAAAAAGCGCCGGCUAACUACGUGCCAGCAGCCGCGGUAAUACGUAGGGCGCAAGCGUUAUCCGGAAUUAUUGGGCGUAAAGAGCUCGUAGGCGGUUUGU